AAACUUAAAGGAAUUGACGGGGCCCGCACAAGCGGUGGAGCAUGUGGUUAAUUCGACGCAACGCGAAGAACCUUACCAGGGCUUGACAUCCCCUGACCGCGUAUGAAAGUACGUUUUCACCCUCGGGUGACAGGGAGACAGGUGGUGCAUGGUUGUCGUCAGCUCGUGUCGUGAGAUGUUGGGUUAAGUCCCGCAACGAGCGCAACCCCUACGUUUAGUUGCUAACGCGUGAAGGCGAGCACUCUAGACGAACUGCCGUUGACAAAACGGAGGAAGGUGGGGAUGACGUCAAAUCAUCAUGCCCCUUAUGUUCUGGGCUACACACGUGCUACAAUGGCCGGUACAGACGGACGCAAAGCCGCGAGGUGGAGCAAAUCCUAAAAAGCCGGUCUCAGUUCGGAUUGCAGGCUGCAAUUCGCCUGCAUGAAGUCGGAAUCGCUAGUAAUCGCAGGUCAGCAUACUGCGGUGAAUACGUUCCCGGGCCUU
rnacentral:rRNA from 1 species